AGCAGUCGCCGCGGGAAUACGUAGGUGGCAAGCGUUGUCCGGAAUUAUUGGGCGUAAAGGGCUCGCAGGCGGUUUCUUAAGUCUGAUGUGAAAGCCCCCGGCUCAACCGGGGAGGGUCAUUGGAAACUGGGAAACUUGAGUGCAGAAGAGGAGAGUGGAAUUCCACGUGUAGCGGUGAAAUGCGUAGAGAUGUGGAGGAACACCAGUGGCGAAGGCGACUCUCUGGUCUGUAACCGACGCUGAGGAGCGAAAGCGUGGGGAGCGAACAGGAUUAGAUACCCCUGUAGUCCCUGUCUCUUAUAC
rnacentral:rRNA from 1 species